GCGAGGCAUUGGGUGCCUAUGGAGAAUGGGUUCCCGUUGACAAAACAGCAGACAAAGCUGCAGCUGCCUCCACAAAGGCCCUGACGACUGUUCCCAUAGCGUCAGCUGCCACAUCAUCAGGUGAAACGGCGGCAGCAGGGUCACCAGACGCUGCCGAACAGCCAGUGUUUGUGGCCGUUAACGACAGCGUUUUUCCUGACCCACUACUGCAGCUCGUCCAGGCCUGACCCCAGUACUUCAUCAGUUCUUGCCUCAGUACCUGUUGGGAAAGAAAAGCAGAAGACUAGUCGCUGAAGGAGAGAAGCUACAGAAGCAGAAGGGAGGACUGGUGGUAACCAAGGAUCUGAUGGGUAACAGAUACACAGCAGACACGCUCACAGCAUGUAGAGUGAAAAUAAUCCUGAAUAUUGUCCUGUGAGAAUUCUGCAGCUGUAACCUUUAUCCUUGUUCCACUACUGCCAGGACAUUUUCGAUGAACAACUGUGAUGAGCAGUCAGCGCCAGUGUUAGUUUAUCAAUCAUGCUGCUGCCUCUACUGUACUUCACCGUAGGGAUGAUGUUUUCAUGUCGGUUUGCACAAUUCUU